rnacentral:lncRNA from 1 species
GGCGCUGCUCCGGAGGGAUAAACAUGUUCCUUCGGCCCGGGCGUGGUUUGGGCUAUUUUCUGCCAUUCUGUUUGUUUGGCUUUUUCCUCGUUUGCCUCCUGCUGCGUUGUAGGAUUACUUGUGGAGACCCUGUUCCCGAGGGAAGCGGGGGACCCAGGCCAGGCGCUGCUUGUGACAGGCCUGGUUUGGAAGCUCCCCCAGCACAAAAAUAUCUCUGCUCUCCGCGUUUUAAAGAGAUAAGGAAGAGAUAAAGAAGACAGGAUUUGAGGCAGGGAGGCAAGAAGAACCUGUGGAUUUCUAAAGCAUUUCACCAAAGGAGUUUUGGCUAUAAGGAAACUACAUACAUAUAAGUAUUUGCCCUUUAUUGAAGAAUCCAAGAAAGAAAGAAGUCUAGAUGUGAUCCCCUUGGAAAUUUGCCUGGCCUACUUUGUAAAGUUAAAUUUACCUUUCUCUUCCCUUGAUCAUAAUUUGUGACUGUGAAAUCAGUUAUUUGUUCUACAAUUACUUAUUCUACAUCUGCCACAUAGGGCCAGAAGUAUGCUAAGAAUUAGGAGGAAUUUCUAAAAAAAAGAAGAUUAAAACAUGAUCCUUCCUAAAAAUGCUUAAAAUGCAAUUGAAGACACAACUAAAACAUAAAUUCCUCAGUUCAGCACUCUUAACCAUCAAUAUUGUAAAUAAAACAUAAAAUUCUUGAAACCAGGGACGUUUUUCUUGCCCUUUUAAUCACAAUUCUUAGUACAUAGUAGACUUUUAAUACUUCAAUAUAAAAUCAAAGGCGUUGUGAUCCUUACAUGUAUAUGAAAUGUGUGAGAGGAGUCAAACUCCCAUUUUCAGAUCUGCUUUUUUCCAUUACCACCAAAGCUAUGAAAAAUGGUCAUACCUGAUGUUUGUUUGGAAUCAAUUCAGCAUUUAUUAAGUGACUCCUUUGUGCAAGGCACUGUACUGGGGAAGAAUUUCAGGGAGAGAGGAAGAGAAGGAAAUGAAACUCAAGCUCAGUCUUGUAAAG